ACUACGGGGGGCAGCAGUGAGGAAUAUUGGUCAAUGGGCGCGAGCCUGAACCAGCCAAGUCGCGUGAGGGAAGACGGUCCUAUGGAUUGUAAACCUCUUUUGUCGGGGAGCAAAAGACGCCACGCGUGGCGUUCCGAGAGUACCCGAAGAAAAAGCAUCGGCUAACUCCGUGCCAGCAGCCGCGGUAAUACGGAGGAUGCGAGCGUUAUCCGGAUUUAUUGGGUUUAAAGGGGGCGCAGACGGCAAUGCAAGCCAGGCGUGAAAGCCCGGGGCCCAACCCCGGGAGUGCUCUUGGAACUGGAUGGCUGGAGUACAGGAGAGGUAGGCGGAAUGCGUGGUGUAGCGGUGAAAUGCGUAGAUAUUGGGAGGAACACCGGUGGCGAAGGCGGCGUGCUGGCCUGUGACUGACGUUGAGGCCCGAAGGCGUGGGGAGCAAACAGGAUUAGAUACCCCGGUAGUC
rnacentral:rRNA from 1 species